CCUACGGGAGGCUGCAGUGGGGAAUAUUGCACAAUGGGGGGAACCCUGAUGCAGCGACGCCGCGUGAGUGAAGAAGUAUUUCGGUAUGUAAAGCUCUAUCAGCAGGGAAGAAAAUGACGGUACCUGACUAAGAAGCCCCGGCUAACUACGUGCCAGCAGCCGCGGUAAUACGUAGGGGGCAAGCGUUAUCCGGAUUUACUGGGUGGAAAGGGAGCGCAGACGGCUGUGCAAGUCUGGAGUGAAAGGCGGGGGCCCAACCCCGGACUGCUCUGGAAACUGUAAAGCUGGAGUGCAGGAGAGGUAAGCGGAAUUCCUAGUGUAGCGGUGAAAUGCGUAGAUAUUAGGAGGAACACCAGUGGCGAAGGCGGCUUACUGGACUGCAACUGAUGUUGAGGCUCGAAAGCGUGGGGAGCAAACAGGAUUAGAUACCCUUGUAGUC
rnacentral:rRNA from 1 species